CGGGUGUACACGUACGCACAAAUAGACAGACGUUAGUUGAGAUAUUAUUAGAUUAAUUGCAAUUUGGGUUAAAUUGACAUUGGUGUGAUUAUGUCAAUGGAAUUAAGUUUUCCUUAUUUGAUUAUAAAGUAAUUAGAGUAGCGCACGGUCGUCGGCAUCCCUAGUUGUCGGACGAUAAUGACAAAGUUUGCAGAAAGUGAGUUGCAGUAAUCGUAUCGCCAUCAAGGUUUGAAACUGGUAUUAUUUAUGUGGUUCAAAAACGGUUUAACCAAGUGGAUUGUAUUGCUCCGCUCCGAGCGGUUAACACCUAUGAGAUUAACCUGGUUCAUUCCAAUCCAAUACGCGCAUGACAAGGACUUCGCUGUUUUAUUUGUUUCCUAUUAUUUUGUUAGGAAAAAUACAUUUAUUGACAAAUAAAUAAACAAUCACGUGUAAAAAAGGUAAGGUUCCACUGGUUCUCUUUAUUUUCCUGUUUGGUCCCAGUUUUGUCGAUUCGAUAUUUUAUUUAUCUUUGAUAUGAUUUAUUUGUAUUUUCUACAUAACUUUAAGGUCUAUUUAGGUGGUCCGUAUAUCUAUGUAUUAUUUUAGUUCGUAAAUUAAAUACUUUUAAUUUCAUAAAAAAAUAGAGUGAUUCUGAAAAAAAUCCUUAAAAAUACUUUAAUACUAGUAUUAUAUUCGAAAUGCUGUCUUUGUGUCUGUUACGCGUUCCCAAAAGGCUAGAGCUGCAGGAAAUAGUAGUUAGUAGUAGUAGUAUUUUCUACCAUUGGCUUAUUUCUAUAGUUAAGUUCAAAGCGUUCAAUAAAUAUUACGUAACGAAUUUGAUCUAAAAAAUACAAUUAUCAAUGUACAUAUAAAUUUAUUUCCUUUAUUAUAUCAUAUGACUUAUAUAACAGAAUCAAUCCUUACUUAAUAAUUGCUUAAUUUAAAAAAAUAAUAGUUUGUUAAAUCAUACUGUCUGAUAUUGAAUCAGGUGGAAUCUAAUCUUUAUUGCAAAUAAUAUUGGAAAAAUCACACUUUUUUCAAAUCACUUAAUUUUUCCAUAAUUAAAUAGAUAUAAAGCGAGACAAAUAAAUAUAGCUUUUCUUUAGUAGCCUAUAAAUUAGAGACAUUCAUGAAAAUAGAAUUAAAAAGGUCUUUCAAUUUGAUUUUUGUACAUCAUACCAUAUCGGUAAAAUAUACCAUGUAACACUUAAUGCUGGCCAAUCAGCAAACUUAAGCAGAUUCUGCAUACAUUGCUGGUUUUCUUUACGGUAAAUAAAAAAAACUAUGCAAUGAUUGUACAUUCGCGUCUGCAUCCAUUUUAGUUUGAUAGUAAAUAGCCGGCGUAACAUGUGAAAACAAUAUUUUGUGAUUACAUUACUGGGCUUUUUUGAACUCGAUCCUUUCCACUUUGACCUCGUCUCCUAAGAGUUUGUACACAUAUGUGA